AUUGAACGCUGGCGGCAGGCCUAACACAUGCAAGUCGAACGGUAACAGGAAGAAGCUUGCUUCUUUGCUGACGAGUGGCGGACGGGUGAGUAAUGUCUGGGAAACUGCCUGAUGGGGGGGGAUAACUACUGGAAACGGUAGCUAAUACCGCAUAACGUCGCAAGACCAAAGAGGGGGACCUUCGGGCCUCUUGCCAUCGGAUGUGCCCAGAUGGGAUUAGCUAGUAGGUGGGGUAACGGCUCACCUAGGCGACGAUCCCUAGCUGGUCUGAGAGGAUGACCAGCCACACUGGAACUGAGACACGGUCCAGACUCCUACGGGAGGCAGCAGUGGGGAAUAUUGCACAAUGGGCGCAAGCCUGAUGCAGCCAUGCCGCGUGUAUGAAGAAGGCCUUCGGGUUGUAAAGUACUUUCAGCGGGGAGGAAGGGAGUAAAGUUAAUACCUUUACUCAUUGACGUUACCCGUAGAAGAAGCACCGGCUAACUCCGUG
rnacentral:rRNA from 1 species